UGAGGAAUAUUGGUCAAUGGUCGAGAGACUGAACCAGCCAAGUCGCGUGAAGGAUGACUGCCCUAUGGGUUGUAAACUUCUUUUACAAGGGAAUAAAAUGAGAUACGUGUAUUUUAUUGCAUGUACCUUGGGAAUAAGCAUCGGCUAACUCCGUGCCAGCAGCCGCGGUAAUACGGAGGAUGCGAGCGUUAUCCGGAUUUAUUGGGUUUAAAGGGUGCGUAGGUGGGCUGUUAAGUCAGCGGUGAAAGUUUGUCGCUUAACGAUAAAAUUGCCGUUGAAACUGGUAGUCUUGAGUAUAGAUGAAGUAGGCGGAAUGCGUGGUGUAGCGGUGAAAUGCAUCGAGAUCACGCAGAACUCCGAUUGCGAAGGCAGCUUACUAAGGUAUAACUGACACUGAAGCACGAAAGCGUGGGUAUCAAACAGG
rnacentral:rRNA from 1 species